GCACAAGCAGUGGAGUAUGUGGUUUAAUUCGACGCAACGCGAAGAACCUUACCAAGUCUUGACAUCCCUUGACAGACAUAGAAAUAUGUAAUCUCUUCGGAGCAAGGAGACAGGUGGUGCAUGGUUGUCGUCAGCUCGUGUCGUGAGAUGUUGGGUUAAGUCCCGCAACGAGCGCAACCCUUAUGGUCAGUUACUACGCAAGAGGAC
rnacentral:rRNA from 1 species